GACGAACGCUGGCGGCGUGCUUAACACAUGCAAGUCGAACGGAAAGGCCCUGCUUUUGUGGGGUGCUCGAGUGGCGAACGGGUGAGUAACACGUGAGUAACCUGCCCUUGACUUUGGGAUAACUUCAGGAAACUGGGGCUAAUACCGGAUAGGAGCUCCUGCUGCAUGGUGGGGGUUGGAAAGUUUCGGCGGUUGGGGAUGGACUCGCGGCUUAUCAGCUUGUUGGUGGGGUAGUGGCUUACCAAGGCUUUGACGGGUAGCCGGCCUGAGAGGGUGACCGGCCACAGUGGGACUGGGAUGCGGCCCAGACUCCAACGGGAGGCAGCAGUGGGGAAUAUUGCACAAUGGGCGGAAGCCUGAUGCAGCAACGCCGCGUGCGGGAUGACGGCCUUCGGGUUGUAAACCGCUUUCGCCUGUGACGAGGCGUGAGUGACGGUAAUGGGUAAAGAAGCACCGGCUAACUACGU
rnacentral:rRNA from 1 species